UUGAUCCUGGCUCAGGACGAACGCUGGCGGCGUGCCUAAUACAUGCAAGUCGAACGCUUCUUUUUCCACCGGAGCUUGCUCCACCGGAAAAAGAGGAGUGGCGAACGGGUGAGUAACACGUGGGUAACCUGCCCAUCAGAAGGGGAUAACACUUGGAAACAGGUGCUAAUACCGUAUAACAAUCGAAACCGCAUGGUUUUGAUUUGAAAGGCGCUUUCGGGUGUCGCUGAUGGAUGGACCCGCGGUGCAUUAGCUAGUUGGUGAGGUAACGGCUCACCAAGGCCACGAUGCAUAGCCGACCUGAGAGGGUGAUCGGCCACAUUGGGACUGAGACACGGCCCAAACUCCUACGGGAGGCAGCAGUAGGGAAUCUUCGGCAAUGGACGAAAGUCUGACCGAGCAACGCCGCGUGAGUGAAGAAGGUUUUCGGAUCGUAAAACUCUGUUGUUAGAGAAGAACAAGGAUGAGAGUAACUGUUCAUCCCUUGACGGUAUCUAACCAGAAAGCCACGGCUAACUACGUGCCAGCAGCCGCGG
rnacentral:rRNA from 1 species